GACCAGACUCCUACGGGAGGCAGCAGUGGGGAAUAUUGGGCAAUGGGCGCAAGCCUGACCCAGCAACGCCGCGUGAAGGAAGAAGGCUUUCGGGUUGUAAACUUCUUUUAAGAGGGAAGAGUAGAAGACGGUACCUCUUGAAUAAGCCACGGCUAACUACGUGCCAGCAGCCGCGGUAAUACGGAGGGUGCGAGCGUUAAUCGGAAUCACUGGGCGUAAAGCGCGCGUAGGCGGCUUUUCAAGUCAGGGGUGAAAUCCCACGGCCCAACCGUGGAACUGCCUUUGAAACUGUAGAGCUUGAGUGUCGGAGAGGGUGGCGGAAUUCCAGGUGUAGGAGUGAAAUCCGUAGAUAUCUGGAGGAACACCGGUGGCGAAGGCGGCCACCUGGACGACAACUGACGCUGAGGUGCGAAAGCGUGGGUAGCAAACAGGAUUAGAUACCCGAGUA
rnacentral:rRNA from 1 species